rnacentral:rRNA from 1 species
GUCUAUGGCCAUAACACCCUGAACACGCCUGAUCUCGUCUGACCUCGGAAGCUAAGCAGAGUCAGGCCUGGUUAGUACUUGGAUGGGAGAAUCUGGACAGGCAGGUCUUGCUUGCU